rnacentral:rRNA from 1 species
UAGCUUGCUAAUGAAAUUCUUAGUGGCGGACGGGUUAGUAACACGUGAGAAUCCUACCCUUGAGUGGGGAAUAGCCUUUCGAAAGGAAGAUUAAUGCCCCAUAGUCUCUACGGAGUAAAGAUGCCUUCGGGUGUCGCUUAAGGAUGGGCUCGCGGCCUAUCAGCUAGUUGGUGAGGUAAGAGCUCACCAAGGCAACGACGGGUAGCUGGUCUGAGAGGACGAUCAGCAACACUGGAACUGAGACACGGUCCAGACACCUACGGGUGGCAGCAGUCGAGAAUCAUUCACAAUGGACGAAAGUCUGAUGGUGCAACGCCGCGUGGAGGAUGACGGCCCUAGGGUUGUAAACUCCUGUCAUCAGGGAGUAAGACUUAUUCGUUAAUAGCGUGUAAGUUUGAUAGUACCUGAAGAGGAAGGGACGGCUAACUUCGUGCCAGCAGCCGCGGUAAUACGAAGGUCCCAAGCGUUGUUCGGAAUAACUGGGCGUAAAGCGUGUGUAGGCCGCGCGGAAAGUCGGAUGUGAAAGCCCAAGGCUCAACCUUGGAACUGCAUCCGAUACUCCCGUGCUA